rnacentral:misc_RNA from 1 species
CCAAACUCCAAGAUUUAAAGAACCAUCAAGACAAAUUAAUGGCUUGCUUUACGUCUUCUCCCGGAACAAAUUGUUCUGCCAAGGUGACCAACAGCCCUGCUGAAGGAUCUAAAUCCAUCGUUGCACCCACCAAAUCAGUGUUGCCUUUCAAGCUUGCAACCCCAUCUCUCACUGAGAAUUCAAGACUCCUUCUUUCAAAGACUUCAAGCUUUAACAGCUUCUCUGUCACCAAGAGAUCUUUCUCCUGCAGAAACCAAGCGGCCUCAUCUGAUGACACGAGACCCAGCAAGGUUCAAGAGCUGUAUGUGUACGAGAUCAAUGAGANNNNNNNAGCUUUUCUCCGCUUGAGCCAGAAACCUGUCAAUUCUCUCGGUGAUCUUGUUCCUUUUACCAACAAAGUUUACACGGGAGACCUGAAAAAACGUAUAGGAAUAACGGCAGGAAUAUGUGUGCUGAUCCAAAACAAGCCAGAGAAGAAUGGCGACCGUUACGAAGCCAUAUACAGCUUCUACUUCGGUGAGUACGGGCAGAUAUCGGUGCAGGGACCCUACUUGACCUACGAGGAUACGUAUCUGGCGGUGACAGGUGGGUCGGGCAUUUUUGAAGGGGUGUCUGGUCAAGUUAAGCUCCAACAGUUAGUAUUUCCAUUCAAGCUGUUCUAUACCUUUUACUUGAAGGGGAUUAAGGACUUGCCUGAGGAGCUGCUAGGCGAUCCUGUUGACCCGAACCCUUCUGUAGAGCCGCACCCUGAUGCUAAGGCUGCCCACCCACAUGCUGCUAUUGCUAAUUUCACUGAUUAAUGAGUUAAGCAUUUAGGGGAAA